AUUUUGGUGUUCACUUUGAUAAGGUAAGUAGGCUGCUAAAAAGAACAAAAAAGAUUUAGAUUUAGAAACAGUUGAAGACCCGCCACCCAAGUUACUUGCAACUCUCUUAUGCUUGGUGUUCCAGGGAGAACAACAGGCCUGAUUUUAAAAAAAGUAUAUUGAAAAAUGUUUUCUGACAGAGGCAACCCUGUAAAAUAUGACACCUAAAGCGGCAAGCCUGGGUAUUUGUACAACUUGAAAUAUACAAAAUCUGAACUUACGUGGGCCAUGAAUAGUAUCCAAAAUAAUGUUUAUGCACAUAACGUGAUUGGUCCCACUCUUCGGAAUUUUUCGGGAUGUUUUCUGGGCAGUAUGUCAGCCAUUUAUUGUCCUCACGGUUACCAGGCACUACUCUACUGGAGGGCUUUUCAACACCACUAAUCUUCCCCUGAAUUGGCACGCUGACUCCAAAUUGUCAUCAAAAUCUAUCCUCGCAAAAAUCAUCAGGUAAAUGACUUUUUCUGAUCUCUUUUUUGACCCCUUGUUGCCAACUUUCCACUAGAAAUCUACUCUGCUUAUACCCUACAGGAACUCAAUCGAACACUUGUUGGAGCUAUCGACCAUGAACACAUGAAAGAAAGAUGUAAAAUCAGCCAAAAUAGCGGAAUGAUAUUGUUAGGUGAAUAUUUUUUGACAUGAAAAGCAAAUUAACAUAAGAGAAAAAACUACCAUCAAAUAUCAUCAAAUGUCAAUCUACAGAAAAAUACCCAUGACCCUAUCUAUUCUAAAGUCAGCUAAAUACUGCCAACUUUGCAAAUUGAUUGAUGCGUAUCAAUUUGUCCUGAGAUGGUACUGACAAGUAGACUCACCUGUAGAUGCAAAUGGGUUGAAAGCAAAAUGAAAGUAGAAAAAAUUCAUGAUAAAAAAAGAUAAGCAGG